UACAGAGGGGGCAAGCGUUGUUCGGAAUUACUGGGCGUAAAGGGCGCGUAGGCGGCCUCUUAAGUCGAACGUGAAAUCCCCGGGCUCAACCCGGGAACUGCGUCCGAUACUGGGAGGCUUGAAUCCGGGAGAGGGAUGUGGAAUUCCAGGUGUAGCGGUGAAAUGCGUAGAUAUCGCUUGGAACGCCAACGGUGAAAACAGGUUGCUGGGGGUGUGCUGACGCUGAGACACGAAAGCCAGGGGAGCGAACGGG
rnacentral:rRNA from 1 species